rnacentral:rRNA from 1 species
GAUGAACGCUGGCGGCGUGCCUAAUACAUGCAAGUCGAGCGAACGGACGAGAAGCUUGCUUCUCUGAUGUUAGCGGCGGACGGGUGAGUAAUACGUGGAUAACCUACCUAUAAGACUGGGAUAACUUCGGGAAACCGUAGCUAAUACCGGAUAAUAUUUUGAACAGCAUGGUUCAAAAGUGAAAGACGGUCUUGCUGUCACUUAUAGAUGGAUCCGCGCUGCAUUAGCGAGUUGGUAAGGUAACGGCUUACCAAGGCAACGAUGCAUAGCCGACCUGAGAGGUUCAUCGGCCAGACUGGCCCUUAGACUCGGUCCAGACUCCUAAGAAUAGGCACAGUCGGCAACAUUCCGCACUGCACGAGAACCUAACCGAGCGUCGCCGCCAGAGUCCUGCGGGCCUUAGGCUCGUAACACUCUGCUACUAGGAAAACGCGUAUGUGUAGGAACAUGCCCACCUCUGGACGGCGCCUGAUCAGAGAGCCCCGGCUCACUUCGUG